rnacentral:rRNA from 1 species
UUGCUUAAAGGGGCCGUAGCUUGAUAUGCAAGUCCCUUGAGAAAUCCGCCAGCUUAACUGGGGGGCGUUCAGGGGAAACUGCGUUUCUAGGGACCGGGAGAGGUGAGAGGUACUGCCGGGGUAGGAGUGAAAUCCUGUAAUCCCGGUGGGACCACCUAUGGCGAAGGCAUCUCACCAGAACGGGUCCGACAGUGAGGGACGAAAGCUGGGGAGCAAACCGGAUUAGAUACCCGGGUAGUCCCAGCUGUAAACGAUGCGCGUUAGGUGUGUCAGUGACCACGUGUCACUGAGGUGCCGAAGGGAAACCGUGAAACGCGCCGCCUGGGGAGUACGGUCGCAAGGCUGAAACUUAAAGGAAUUGGCGGGGGAGCACCACAACGGGUGGAGCCCGCGGUUUAAUCGGACUCAACGCCGGAAAUCUCACCGGAUAAGACAGCUGAAUGAUAGUCGGGAUGAAGACUCUACUUGACUAGCCGAGAGGAGGUGCAUGGCCGUCGUCAGUUCGUACUGUGAAGCAUCCUGUUUAGUCAGGCAGCGAGCGAGACCCACGCCAACAGUUGCCAGCUUGACCUUCGGGUUGAUGGGGACACUGUUGGGACCGCCUCUGCUAAAGGGGAGGAAGGAAUGGGCAACGGUAGGUCCGCAUGCCCCUAAA